rnacentral:rRNA from 1 species
CUUGUCAUUUAGAGGAAGUAAAAGUCGUAACAAGGUUUCCGUAGGUGAUCUGCGGAAGGAUCAUUAUUGAUGUAAAUGGAGUUGGUUGUUGCUGGCCCUUUCAUUGGGGCAUGUGCACGCCUUCUCUAUUUAUCCACACACACCUGUGAGCUUGUGAGACGGAUAGCCCUCUCGGGGGUCGUCCGUCUGCUAUACAUAAACUCCAGUAUAUAAAUCUGAAUGUAAUUGAUGUAACGCAUCUAUAAACUAAGUUUCAACAACGGAUCUCUUGGCUCUCGCAUCGAUGAAGAACGCAGCGAAAUGCGAUAAGUAAUGUGAAUUGCAGAAUUCAGUGAAUCAUCGAAUCUUUGAACGCACCUUGCGCUCCUUGGUAUUCCUCGGAGCAUGCCUGUUUGAGUAUCAUGAAAUCUUCAAAAUAAAUCUUUUGUUCAUUCGAUUGAUUUUUAUUUUGGACUUGGAGGUCUGCAGAUUUAUUUCUUGCUCCUCUUAAAUUUAUUAGCUGGAUCUCAGUGAACUCGGUUCCACUCGGCGUGAUAAGUAUCACUCGCUGAGGACACUGUAAAAGGUGGCCGAGGUUGCAGAUGAACCGCUUCUAAUAGUCUAUUCACUUAGACAAUUUAUUUAUGAUCUGAUCUCAAAUCAGGUAGGACUACCCGCUGAACUUAAGCAUAUCAAUAAGCGGAGGA